AAGUGUUUUGUGGAUAUGUUUAGGUGCGUAGUGCGAGGCACUGGCUGGCAGGGAGAGGAAGGAAGCAGGCGUCAGAGAGGAAGUGACUGUGUUCAAGGGGUACCAUGAGCUGCUGCUUUAUUUAACCUGGAUUUUCGCUCAACAAGACAGUGACACGGGCCGUGGCUGCCUUCAUGUGCUGGUGCAAGCUUGGCGCCUGCCGGGAGGUGCCUGGGAGGGCCGGUAGCAGCUGGUGAGGGCCAGCAAGGCUGUAACAGUGACACAAAUGUAGAGACACGAGACAGAAAAGCAGGAAACACCACCACCUCCAAAGCCACCAUCACCACCACCACCAGGACAGUGGAAGAAAGGGAACAGACAAGCAGCACUGAUGGGCGUGGCGUUCAUCACGGUCUUCACUGGGCGGACUGUAGGGGCCGUGUCUUCUCACUGGUGAAGUACUGGCUGGUUCAUUGCCUCUGUUGUCUACGCACUCACUCUUCCUGUGGCUAACAAACUAUUAUCUUCUCACUUCUUCCAGGAAUUGCUGCCUGAGACACAAAUGUAGAGAGACAAGACAUAAAAGCAGGAAGACCACCACCACCACCACCACUUUCAUCAUGACACUGGAAAAAAGGGUAGAGACAAGUGGUACUGAUGGGUGUGGCAUUCGGCACAGGCUUCACCACUGGGCCCACAGUGGGGGCUGCGUUCUCCCGCUGCAGAAGUAGUUUCUUCUUCAUGGCCUCAGCUGUCUACGCACUUAGUGUUGCUAUAGCUAACAUACUGUUCUUUGCUCUCUUCUUCCAGGAAUUGCUGCCUGAGAUACAAAUGUAUAGAGACAAGAUGGAAAAGCAGGAAGACUACCACCACCACCACCACCACCACCACCAUCAUCACACCAGGACAGUGGAAGAAGGGGUAGAGACAGACAGUGAAAGUUGAAAAAAUAAAUAAUUAAUUGCU